rnacentral:rRNA from 1 species
GGUAUCAGAAGUGCGAAUGCUGACAUAAGUAACGAUAAAGCGGGUGAAAAGCCCGCUCGCCGGAAGACCAAGGGUUCCUGUCCAACGUUAAUCGGGGCAGGGUGAGUCGACCCCUAAGGCGAGGCCGAAAGGCGUAGUCGAUGGGAAACAGGUUAAUAUUCCUGUACUUGGUGUUACUGCGAAGGGGGGACGGAGAAGGCUAUGUUGGCCGGGCGACGGUUGUCCCGGUUUAAGCGUGUAGGCUGGUUUUCCAGGCAAAUCCGGAAAAUCAAGGCUGAGGCGUGAUGACGAGGCACUACGGUGCUGAAGCAACAAAUGCCCUGCUUCCAGGAAAAGCCUCUAAGCAUCAGGUAACAUCAAAUCGUACCCCAAACCGACACAGGUGGUCAGGUAGAGAAUACCAAGGCGCUUGAGAGAACUCGGGUGAAGGAACUAGGCAAAAUGGUGCCGUAACUUCGGGAGAAGGCACGCUGAUAUGUAGGUGAAGUCCCUUGCGGAUGGAGCUGAAAUCAGUCGAAGAUACCAGCUGGCUGCAACUGUUUAUUAAAAACACAGCACUGUGCAAACACGAAAGUGGACGUAUACGGUGUGACGCCUGCCCGGUGCCGGAAGGUUAAUUGAUGGGGUCAGCGCAAGCGAAGCUCUUGAUCGAAGCCCCGGUAAACGGCGGCCGUAACUAUAACGGUCCUAAGGUAGCGAAAUUCCUUGUCGGGUAAGUUCCGACCUGCACGAAUGGCGUAAUGAUGGCCAGGCUGUCUCCACCCGAGACUCAGUGAAAUUGAACUCGCUGUGAAGAUGCAGUGUACCCGCGGCAAGACGGAAAGACCCCGUGAACCUUUACUAUAGCUUGACACUGAACAUUGAGCCUUGAUGUGUAGGAUAGGUGGGAGGCUUUGAAGUGUGGACGCCAGUCUGCAUGGAGCCGGCCUUGAAAUACCACCCUUUAAUGUUUGAUGUUCUAACGUGGACCCGUGAUCCGGGUUGCGGACAGUGUCUGGUGGGUAGUUUGACUGGGGCGGUCUCCUCCUAAAGAGUAACGGAGGAGCACGAAGGUUGGCUAAUCCUGGUCGGACAUCAGGAGGUUAGUGCAAUGGCAUAAGCCAGCUUGACUGCGAGCGUGACGGCGCGAGCAGGUGCGAAAGCAGGUCAUAGUGAUCCGGUGGUUCUGAAUGGAAGGGCCAUCGCUCAACGGAUAAAAGGUACUCCGGGGAUAACAGGCUGAUACCGCCCAAGAGUUCAUAUCGACGGCGGUGUUUGGCACCUCGAUGUCGGCUCAUCACAUCCUGGGGCUGAAGUAGGUCCCAAGGGUAUGGCUGUUCGCCAUUUAAAGUGGUACGCGAGCUGGGUUUAGAACGUCGUGAGACAGUUCGGUCCCUAUCUGCCGUGGGCGCUGGAGAACUGAGGGGGGCU